UUGUUCUGUCGUUGGGAAAGGCAGAGAGGAAUGAUGAUAUCUCUCCUAUAUGUAUGCAAUUGCCCAUGGGCAUGACUGAGAAUCUGCAACAAGGGAAGUUCUCACCUGGUUUUGUGUGCAAAGGAUAAAUAUAAAAAAUAAUGAGUUGGUUAUGCGUGUAAGGUAAAAGGAGAAGAGGGUCUUCCAUGUGUUGGAAGGCACCGCCUUUGGUAUUGUUUAAGGGAUUUUUUUAUAAUUAUAGAACCCACCACCAAAUGUUGCGCAUUCAUUUUGUUUCACCUAACAAGACGACAGGGAGCAAGUAGGAGGUAUGGCCAAAACUCCAAACAACAAAAGCCCACCGCCAUCACUCAGACAACAAACAACACAACCCACAAUUCAUCUUCCUACAAAUAAACACAAUCUAUUUGAAUGUCAGGAUUUUGAUUUCCCCCUGGCUCAAAAAUUAGGGUUUUGAAAUGAAAAUGGAAAUGGGUGCAGAGAAUCUGAUAGUUUGUGGAUGGAAGAUGGCAGAUUUCAAUUCUCAACUUUGAUCAUUCAAGAGUUGAUUGUAUAGGUAUUCACACAAUAAAAAGUCAUAAAAAACCAGACAGACAGAGACAGACAGAAAGGAAGGAAACCCUAUUGGCAUUUGGAGCUUGAAAAAAGGGCUAUAUAAUUUAUUAUAUGUCCUUCAAUAAUGACAACUGAAAAAAUACCAUGUCAUUGCGUGAAAAAGCCUCCAAGGGCAGUAGUUUCUCUGGUCUUUGAUUUUGGUGUAUAACAGCAGCAUGUGGGCAGCACUGGUUGUCAACUCUUGAUCUGCCUAAUAUUCUGAUCUCUCUGCCCACUAUCCUGAUCUGCCUGCCCACUAACUAUCUGAUUUGUUUUUGUGAAUCUCAAAAUUGAUGCAGUCAAUAACAAGGCUUUGCAGGAUCUUUGGUAAAAAAAUUAAUGAAGAGAGAGAAGUUAUGAAUUCUUAUGAAUUCUUGGAAAUAUAUGGGAUGUGAUCAAUACAAAGUACCUGUGGCUGUCCAUGUGCAGGCUCUUGCAUUAAGCUGGUGCAGCUCGAAAAUAGAGGAAUUUGAGCAGAUUUAAAGGCAGAGUUGGGGUGCGGGGACUGCAGCCUGGCACGAGGCCUGUGACAACCUGAAAAUGUUCUGACAAAAGUGGACAGCCAUGCUGUUGACUCGGACCAGGCUUCAUUCCCCUCACAACACUCUUCCAUUUCUACCUACUCAAAAACUUUGCAUCAAAAUACACUUGGGAAUGCCCAUCUACAACAGCGGCUCAACAUCUCAUCAGGGGCGCAUCAUUUAGAGACAGAUUGCAGAUGCAGAUAAACGGGCGCAUGCAACAAUCUCCCAAGCUUUUGGCUUUUUCCCUCAAAACGACCAGCCCAUUAGAGAGGCUUGAAACAUUGGAAAAAAAUAGUUCACCUGAGUUGAAUAGCUAGAGAUUCAACUCAUUAAUCUUCAAAACUGACUUGGUUUGUCAGUCAUAUUACCCACGACAAUGUGGACAGACGUUCUCUUUUUCAAGAAAUCUGGUGAGAUAGGAUUCCCUGGUUUCACAAAUUUACUUUAUGAAUGGAUGGAGAGAACAAGGUCAUGAUUGAAUUAAGUUUAAUCCAGUCCAGGUUUGAGCUGAGCGUUCACAGUGACCAUUUGUGACUUUGCCUCUCCUUAUAAUGGAGAUCAAUGUUUCUACUUCUCCUAAACGUAUUUUGUGGGACGAUCAAGGGAAAGAAAAACACUGUAAAAUACGUAGGAAAUACCAAGGGUAUUCAUUUACCUGCUUACAUUUUCUAGUAGCUGAGUAGAAUCGGUGAAAAUCCUUUUGAUAAAUGCCAUAGCAUCGUGUAUUACAGCUUUCAUUAAAAAUAUUAUUGGGAAAUAUGUACCCAUAUCCAUUGUUUGGCCAAA